GUGAAGCUUCUUAUGGAAGUUGGCGGGAACAUUUCGAAAUUGGCCAACUCAUGGUGGGAAACCAAAACGAAGCCCUAAAAAUUCCAAAAUUUGAAACAACUCUUCUUCCUUGUUUAUAAGCCUGCUGCGCUCUGUCAGUAGUUUUGUGACUUUUGUCUGCCUGCGAACCGUACGUGUUUGAUAAAAUUCCGGAGAGAGAGAGGGAGGUCGCUGAAGAUGUACGUGUUUAAGAGAGAUGGAAGACGAGAGUCAGUGCAUUUUGACAAGAUCACGGCGAGGCUAAAGAAAUUAAGUUAUGGACUGAGCACCGAGCACUGCGAUCCGGUGCUCGUAUCGCAGAAGGUGUGUGCGGGGGUCUACAAGGGCGUCACCACCAGCCAGCUUGAUGAAUUGGCCGCUGAGACUGCUGCUGCCAUGACCGCCAACCAUCCUGAUUAUGCCUCCUUGGCUGCCAGGAUUGUUGUUUCGAAUUUGCACAAGAACACUAUGAAAUCAUUUUCAGAAACGAUCAAAAUAAUGUACACUCAUGUCAAUGAGAGGUCUGGCCUGAAGGCUCCUCUGGUUGCUGAUGAUGUAUAUGAUAUCAUAAUGAAGAAUUCUGCUCGUUUGGACAGUGAGAUUAUCUAUGAUAGGGACUUUGAAUAUGACUAUUUUGGCUUCAAAACUCUUGAAAGGUCGUACCUGUUAAAGGUUCAGGGCAAGGUUGUAGAAAGGCCACAACACAUGCUGAUGAGAGUUGCUGUUGGAAUUCACAAGGAGGAUAUUGACUCUGUCAUCAAAACAUACCAUUUGAUGUCUCAGCGAUGGUUUACUCAUGCUUCUCCUACCCUUUUCAAUGCAGGAACACCAAGACCGCAACUGAGUAGCUGUUUCUUGGUGUGCAUGAAAGAAGAUAGUAUUGAAGGAAUAUAUGAUACUUUGAAAGAAUGUGCGGUAAUCAGUAAGUCUGCUGGAGGAAUUGGGGUAUCUGUUCAUAACAUCCGUGCAACUGGUAGUUAUAUCCGUGGAACAAAUGGAGCAUCAAAUGGCAUCGUUCCAAUGCUGAGGGUUUUCAAUGAUACUGCACGUUAUGUUGACCAAGGAGGAGGCAAGAGGAAGGGUGCUUUUGCUGUAUAUUUGGAGCCAUGGCAUGCUGACAUAUUUGAGUUUCUGGAUCUUAGGAAAAACCAUGGAAAGGAAGAACAUCGUGCUCGGGAUUUAUUCUUUGCUCUUUGGGUGCCUGAUCUUUUUAUGGAAAGGGUGCAAAGUAAUGGAGAGUGGUCAUUAUUUUACCCAAAUGAGGCUCCAGGUUUGGCAGAUUGCUGGGGUGUGGAAUUUGAAAGGCUCUACACCCAUUAUGAAAGAGAGGGAAAGGCUAAGAAGGUGGUGCAGGCACAGAACCUAUGGUUUGAAGUGCUGAAAUCCCAGAUAGAAACUGGGACGCCUUACGUGCUUUUCAAGGAUACUUGCAAUAGAAAGAGUAACCAGCAAAAUCUGGGUACAAUUAAAUCUUCAAAUCUGUGCACAGAGAUAAUUGAGUAUACAAGUCCGACAGAAACAGCUGUUUGCAAUUUGGCAUCCAUUGCUUUACCAAGAUUUGUUAGAGAGAAGGGGGUGCCAAUCGAAUCUCAUCCAUCAAAGCUUGUUGGCAGUCGAGGUUCUAUGAAUCGAUAUUUUGACUUUGACAAACUUGCUGAGAUAACUGCGGUAGCUACUACAAAUCUUAACAAGAUCAUCGAUGUUAGUUACUACCCGAUUGAGAAUGCAAGGAGGUCAAAUUUCCUGCACAGACCCAUCGGUAUUGGAGUUCAGGGUCUUGCAGAUACCUUCAUCUUACUUGGCAUGGCAUUUGAUUCGCCAGAGGCACAACAACUGAACAAGGACAUAUUUGAAACCAUAUACUAUCAUGCUCUCAAAGCUUCUGCUGAAUUAGCGGCAAAAGAAGGUGCCUAUGAAACAUAUAAUGGAAGUCCUGUGAGCAAGGGCAUUCUGCAGCCUGAUAUGUGGGGUGUGACACCUUCAGAUCGGUGGGACUGGGCUGCUCUAAGAGAGAUUAUUUCUAAUAAUGGGGUUAGAAAUUCACUUCUUGUGGCUCCAAUGCCAACUGCUUCGACUAGCCAGAUUCUUGGAAAUAAUGAGUGUUUUGAGCCUUAUACUUCUAAUAUCUACAGUCGCAGAGUGCUAAGUGGUGAAUUUGUUGUGGUGAACAAACAUCUACUUCAUGACUUGACUGAAAUGGGUCUCUGGUCUCCUGCUAUUAAAAACUCGAUAAUAUAUGAGAAUGGUUCUGUUCAGAGAAUUCCUGAAGUACCUGAUGAAUUGAAAGACAUAUACAAGACUGUUUGGGAGAUCAAGCAAAAGACAUUGGUGGAUAUGGCUGUUGAUCGUGGCUGCUACAUAGAUCAGAGUCAGAGCCUUAACAUACAUAUGGACCAACCAAAUUUUGGAAAAUUAACUUCCUUGCACUUCCAUGCGUGGUCUAAGGGCUUAAAAACUGGGAUGUAUUAUCUACGAACACGUGCUGCUGUUGAUGCCAUAAAGUUCACUGUUGAUACUUCCAUUCUUAAACAGGAAAAGAAGGCUAAGGUGGUUGAUGAUGAUGAUACCAUAAUGGCUCAGAUGGUUUGCUCCCUUACAAACCGUGACGAGUGCAUGGCUUGUGGUAGUUGAAAUAGAGUUAAAAUACAAGUGGCUUCAGAUAUGUGCUUUUAUAGAGAACCCUUCAAGUGUGAAGGCAGGCACCGAAGUGUGACCAACCAACCAUGUGGACAGGCAGAACCUUGAACGUUCUUUUUCUUUAGAAAAUCUGGUGGGCCUGGUGUGCACGAAUUCUUUAAGGGAGACGAAAAAUUGAGCAGGUAUUUUUUCCAAGUCAAAACUGAGACGACAUUGCUUGUCUUUGCCCUUUUGCAUUAUUUCCACUGCACCAAACUUUAGUUUGUGGUAUUGGAACCGGCCUAAGACGUUAUAGCUUUGUGGAUGGUCACAUCUAUACCUAGCCGAGAAGGGACCAGUUGGACCACAAUUAGUAACCCCCUAACCCAUUGGUUGCACUCAAUCCAUUCAAACAGUCUGGUUCAAUAAUAUUUGGUAAUUAAGUCUGAAUGGAGUUAUCAAUUGUAUCCUAACAAGUUAAUCAAGUGCUAUAUUGGUAAUAGAUUAUAUGAAAGUAUUAUUAAAAUUGGGGAAAUACUA